ensembl:lncRNA MIDEAS-AS1 MIDEAS antisense RNA 1
AGACAGUGUAAAUGUGUGAAGGCCUGACACUUACACAUACAUUGCUUUUUUCUCUAUGUAAGGUGGCAGUUGCUGGAGUACCAGGGCACCAAGUGGAGGAUGUGGUAGACAGCCUCUAAGAUGCGCCCCCUGCCAAUGAUCUCUGCCUCCAGGGAGGAGCUAGAAGGCAGAGAGAAAGCCACUCAGGACUUCCCAUCCCAGAAGAUAAAGGUGAGGAAAGCAGCAGCAGCAGCCACAGGCCAGUAUUCCAGAGCAGCUUUGGGUUCCUGUCAAGACCUGCUUUGAGAAGGAGGUGGCUGUGGGGCUGGAGGGCUGGGCCUGUUCCUGAGCUGGCUGCUGGCAGCACAGCAAUGAGGCAACAUUGAGAACUGCGACACGAGGCCCAGUCCUGCUACUAAACCAACUGUGUGGACUUGCAUAGUCACUUCACCCCUCGGGCCUCCAUUUCUCCACUUUGGAAAGCAGUGUUGGGACGAUGUUAAGGGUUUGCAACCUUCCAACAUGAAGACUUAUUUUUAAAAGCAAAACAUUUCAAAGA